GGGUUGUGAGGUUAAGCGACUAAGCGUACACGGUGGAUGCCCUGGCAGUCAGAGGCGAUGAAGGACGUGCUAAUCUGCGAAAAGCGUCGGUAAGGUGAUAUGAACCGUUAUAACCGGCGAUGUCCGAAUGGGGAAACCCAGUGCAAUUCGUUGCACUAUCGUUAACUGAAUACAUAGGUUAACGAGGCGAACCGGGGGAACUGAAACAUCUAAGUACCCCGAGGAAAAGAAAUCAACCGAGAUUCCCCCAGUAGCGGCGAGCGAACGGGGAGCAGCCCAGAGUCUGAAUCAGCUUGUGUGUUAGUGGAACGGUCUGGAAAGUCCGACGGUACAGGGUGAUAGUCCCGUACACCAAAAUGCACAGGUUGUGAACUCGAAGAGUAGGGCGGGACACGUGGUAUCCUGUCUGAAUAUGGGGGGACCAUCCUCCAAGGCUAAAUACUCCUGACUGACCGAUAGUGAACCAGUACCGUGAGGGAAAGGCGAAAAGAACCCCGGCGAGGGGAGUGAAAAAGAACCUGAAACCGUGUACGUACAAGCAGUGGGAGCACCUUUAUGGUGUGACUGCGUACCUUUUGUAUAAUGGGUCAGCGACUUAUAUUCUGUAGCAAGGUUAACCGUAUAGGGGAGCCGCAGGGAAACCGAGUCUUAACUGGGCGUUAAGUUGCAGGGUAUAGACCCGAAACCCGGUGAUCUAGCCAUGGGCAGGUUGAAGGUUGGGUAACACUAACUGGAGGACCGAACCGACUAAUGUUGAAAAAUUAGCGGAUGACUUGUGGCUGGGGGUGAAAGGCCAAUCAAACCGGGAGAUAGCUGGUUCUCCCCGAAAGCUAUUUAGGUAGCGCCUCGUGAACUCAUCUUCGGGGGUAGAGCACUGUUUCGGCUAGGGGGUCAUCCCGACUUACCAACCCGAUGCAAACUACGAAUACCGAAGAAUGUUAUCACGGGAGACACACGGCGGGUGCUAACGUCCGUCGUGAAGAGGGAAACAACCCAGACCGCCAGCUAAGGUCCCAAAGUCAUGGUUAAGUGGGAAACGAUGUGGGAAGGCACAGACAGCCAGGAUGUUGGCUUAGAAGCAGCCAUCAUUUAAAGAAAGCGUAAUAGCUCACUGGUCGAGUCGGCCUGCGCGGAAGAUGUAACGGGGCUAAACCAUGCACCGAAGCUGCGGCAGCGACACUAUGUGUUGUUGGGUAGGGGAGCGUUCUGUAAGCCUGCGAAGGUGGCCUGUGAGGGCUGCUGGAGGUAUCAGAAGUGCGAAUGCUGACAUAAGUAACGAUAAAGCGGGUGAAAAGCCCGCUCGCCGGAAGACCAAGGGUUCCUGUCCAACGUUAAUCGGGGCAGGGUGAGUCGACCCCUAAGGCGAGGCCGAAAGGCGUAGUCGAUGGGAAACAGGUUAAUAUUCCUGUACUUGGUGUUACUGCGAAGGGGGGACGGAGAAGGCUAUGUUAGCCGGGCGACGGUUGUCCCGGUUUAAGCAUGUAGGCGGAGGUUCCAGGUAAAUCCGGUACCUUUUAACGCUGAGGUGUGAUGACGAGGCACUACGGUGCUGAAGUAACAAAUGCCCUGCUUCCAGGAAAAGCCUCUAAGCAUCAGGUAACAUUGAAUCGUACCCCAAACCGACACAGGUGGUCAGGUAGAGAAUACCAAGGCGCUUGAGAGAACUCGGGUGAAGGAACUAGGCAAAAUGGUGCCGUAACUUCGGGAGAAGGCACGCUGGUGUGUAGGUGAAGUCCCUGCGGAUGGAGCUGAGACCAGUCGAAGAUACCAGCUGGCUGCAACUGUUUAUUAAAAACACAGCACUGUGCAAACACGAAAGUGGACGUAUACGGUGUGACGCCUGCCCGGUGCCGGAAGGUUAAUUGAUGGGGUUAUCCGUAAGGAGAAGCUCUUGAUCGAAGCCCCGGUAAACGGCGGCCGUAACUAUAACGGUCCUAAGGUAGCGAAAUUCCUUGUCGGGUAAGUUCCGACCUGCACGAAUGGCGUAAUGAUGGCCAGGCUGUCUCCACCCGAGACUCAGUGAAAUUGAACUCGCUGUGAAGAUGCAGUGUACCCGCGGCAAGACGGAAAGACCCCGUGAACCUUUACUAUAGCUUGACACUGAACAUUGAGCCUUGAUGUGUAGGAUAGGUGGGAGGCUUUGAAGCGUGGACGCCAGUCUGCGUGGAGCCAACCUUGAAAUACCACCCUUUAAUGUUUGAUGUUCUAACGUUGGCCCCUUAUCGGGGUUGCGGACAGUGUCUGGUGGGUAGUUUGACUGGGGCGGUCUCCUCCCAAAGAGUAACGGAGGAGCACGAAGGUUAGCUAAUCCUGGUCGGACAUCAGGAGGUUAGUGCAAUGGCAUAAGCUAGCUUGACUGCGAGCGUGACGGCGCGAGCAGGUGCGAAAGCAGGUCAUAGUGAUCCGGUGGUUCUGAAUGGAAGGGCCAUCGCUCAACGGAUAAAAGGUACUCCGGGGAUAACAGGCUGAUACCGCCCAAGAGUUCAUAUCGACGGCGGUGUUUGGCACCUCGAUGUCGGCUCAUCACAUCCUGGGGCUGAAGUAGGUCCCAAGGGUAUGGCUGUUCGCCAUUUAAAGUGGUACGCGAGCUGGGUUUAGAACGUCGUGAGACAGUUCGGUCCCUAUCUGCCGUGGGCGCUGGAGAAUUGAGGGGGGCUGCUCCUAGUACGAGAGGACCGGAGUGGACGCAUCACUGGUGUUCGGGUUGUCAUGCCAAUGGCACUGCCCGGUAGCUAAAUGCGGAAGAGAUAAGUGCUGAAAGCAUCUAAGCACGAAACUUGCCCCGAGAUGAGUUCUCCCUGAGACUAUAAGUCUCCUGAAGGAACGUUGAAGACGACGACGUUGAUAGGCCGGGUGUGUAAGCGCAGCGAUGCGUUGAGCUAACCGGUACUAAUGAACCGUGAGGCUUAACCUUACAACGCCGAAGCUGUU
rnacentral:rRNA from 1 species